UACGGGGGGAGCAAGCGUUGUUCGGAAUUACUGGGCGUAAAGGGCUCGUAGGCGGCCAACUAAGUCAGACGUGAAAUCCCCAGGCUUAACCUGGGAACUGCGUCUGAUACUGGAUGGCUUGAAUUCGGGAGAGGGAUGCAGAAUUCCAGGUGUAGCGGUGAAAUGCGUAGAUAUCUGGAGGAAUACCGGUGGCGAAGGCGGCAUCCUGGACCGACAUUGACGCUGAUGAGCGAAAGCUAGGGGAGCAAACGGG
rnacentral:rRNA from 1 species